AGCACCAAGGAGUCUCAUUUUGUAUGUGGAGAAAAAAGCACAAAAAAGAGAUCCAUUUAAACCUUGUCUUUGUUUGAAAUGUGCAAUUUCAGCUAACUAAUUUCACCACUAAGAUCUCGUCCAGGAGACCAUGUUGUAUUUAGUCAUUCUGUUUCCUUGGCUUUCCUUGGCUGUAAGAGUUUCCCAGAUACUCCUUGUUUUCAGUGACAUUGAAAACCAUGGGAACUACUGUUCAGAUGUCCCCAAUCCCCACCCCCUACUAACUCUCCUAAGUGAGCUGCAAAGGACAAG